rnacentral:rRNA from 1 species
CUACGGGUCGCUCCAGUGAGGAAUAUUGCGCAAUGGGGGGAACCCUGAUGCAGCAACGCCGCGUGGAGGAUGACGCAUUUCGGUGUGUAAACUCCUUUUAUAUGUCAAGAAAAUGACGGUAGCAUAUGAAUAAGCACCGGCUAACUCCGUGCCAGCAGCCGCGGUAAUACGGAGGGUGCAAGCGUUACUCGGAAUCACUGGGCGUAAAGGACGCGUAGGCGGGUUGGAAAGUCAGGUGUGAAAUCCUACAGCUUAACUGUAGAACUGCACUUGAAACUUCUAAACUAGAGUAUGGGAGGGGGAGAUGGAAUUAGUGGUGUAGGGGUAAAAUCCGUAGAUAUCACUAGGAAUACCUAAAGCGAAGGCGAUCUCCUGGAACAUUACUGACGCUAAGGCGUGAAAGCGUGGGGAGCAAACAGGAUUAGAUACCCUCGUAGUC